AAGAAUAUAUAUAGAUCUGGAUAUACCAGAAGCACAAGAACUUCUUGAAAGGUAUGAAACACUACCAAUUAAAAAUUCCCACUCAUGAAUAGUGACUCAUGUUGAUUCAAGAUUGUAUAUAUUAUUAUUUGUUUUAUAUAUGUGCAGGGACUCAACACAAGUAACCUUACCAAAAAUGAUGAGUAUAGAUAGAAGUAAUCAGGGAUCACUAGAAGAACAAAUGUUUUACAGGCGGAGAACAUUGCAAGAACUUACUAAAAUGAGGCACGAAAACCAGCAAGACCAGGUAAUUCAUCAGAAUUUCAAUAAACGGUAUCAUCAAUUUCUGUGAGAAUGAGUUAAGACCUGCAUUGACAAUUCGUUCAAUAUUCAAUUAUAUAUGUCACUUAAACCCCCACCCUUACCCCAAUGCUAACGUUGAUUGUUUUCAGGAUUUUCUAUUCACGACAAUAGCUACAGUACAUCGGUUGCAAGAAAAUAUUCAAUGGUGGUACAUGUCAUGUGAUAACUGUCCCAAAAUGGUUACCAAGGAAACCAACAAGUAUUAUUGCAAGAGUUGUGGUAUAUAUCCAGAAAAGGUCACACCUCGGUAAGCAUAUUAUAUUACUUAAAUAUAAACAAUAAGUGUUAUAUUAUAUUUACUCUCCACUAACAUGAAUGGUAUGUUAGGUAUCGUAUUCGACUCCAAAUUAGUGACCAUACAUCUACUACAAGUUGCACUUUAUUUGACGAGGAGGCUGCAAGAUUGCUUAGUACAUCUGCAUCUGACUUGUGGACUGACUAGAUGGGAAAAUGGAAGAAGCGCCAAAGAUUAUUCAACAAUUAUGUGGAAAAAAGUUAAUAUUUCGAUUCAAGCUCAAUGAUAGUAAUCUCACAUUUGGCACACAAAACUAUGCAGUAAAGAGAACAUUUGUGCCUGAUGAUAGGCUUGAGAUGCUCUACUUGAACGAUAAAGCCGAGGAGGUAAAAGUUUCAUUAACUUUGUUUCAAAAAUAAAGUACCAUCUUUAGAAUUCCUUAACCAAUUCAUAUUACAUUUGUUGCACAGGAAUUGAUGGAUGAUGAUGUAGACACUAUGUUAAUGAAGAAGCAGAACAUGCCAGAUAAAAAGGUGAUUGACUUUUUGACGAUACACACUUCAAAUUUUAGAGAUGUGUCUUAUUUUGAAAAUGUAUAUGUAUGCAGCCACAGAAUAAUAAAGUUUCACCUUCCUGCAAACUGGUGCCUGUGAAAGAGGAGCCAUAUGACAGCAAUGAAUCCACA
rnacentral:lncRNA from 1 species